rnacentral:snRNA from 1 species
GUGUUUGCUUCUGAGGUGCAUGUAUUAAAAUUGGAAUGAUGCAGAGAAGAUUAGCACGGCUCCUGCACAGGGAUGCCAUGCAGAUUCUUGUAGUAGUCCAUUUUUUU